CCAUGAGAUCCCUCUUUCUCUCUCUCUCUCUCUCUCUCUUUUUUGCCUCGCGUAUAAUAAUUUAGAUAAGAGCAGAAGAAAUAAACUGUGGGAAGUUGGCAAGCCAUCAUGGAAGGAAUGAGACACAUGGAAGAGGUUAAAAAGUGGCCAAAUUCUGGCACAAUAUGGGGAAGGAAAGCCCAAAAGAACGGCACUGGUUUCAAGAUUGGGAUGUGAUAGAUUUGGAAAAUAAUUAUUCCUCUGCACUAAAAAAAAUAUAAAGGAGCUUAUUUAGUUGGAAGUUAAUCCUAAUACAAAGAUGUCUUUAUGUGCUGGAAAAAAUUAUAAAUUAGGACUAGGAUAUUUUAAGAAAGCAACUCUUUUCAACAUAAGAAGCGAGUAAACUCCACAUAAUAGAACUUAAA
rnacentral:lncRNA from 1 species